CCCUUAGAUGUUCGGGGCUGCACGCGUGCUACAAUGGCGCUUGCAACAAGUCUUGCCAACCCGAUAGGGUGAGCGGAUCUUUGAAGAGGCGUCGUGAUCGGGACAGUUGAUUGCAAUUAUUCGACUCGAACGAGGAAUUCCUUGUAAUCGCGAUUCAUCAUAUCGCGCUGAAUACGUCCCUGCCCUUUGUACACACCGCCCGUCGCUCCUACCGAUUGAGCGAUCCGGUGAAUGUUUUGGACUGGCGUCAGAAGCGGUUCGCUCCUGACACUACGAAAUUUUGUAAACCUUAUCGCUUAGAGGAAGGAAAAGUCGUAACA
rnacentral:rRNA from 1 species